GAUGCACAGACCUUGCCCUGGCUGUCUGCACAGGGCUGAAUUUCACCCCUUCUGAGUUGCUGAGCAGAUGCUACACUGUAAGAAAUGGAAACAGAAGCAAAAAUUGAAAGACUGUUACUAAAACCAAUGAACAGCUGCAGAGAGUGGAGACCCGGCAAAGCAGACAAAUGAAUACUGAAAGGGAUCCCCAAAGGAGGUGCAAGGAUCCGGGACUCUAGUGUCUGCCAGAAGCUUCAGCCACCUUCACAGGUUAGAGCUCGCCGUCCAUUGCGGAGGUGAAGACCGGAUGGGAGCUGCUGGAUUGACCUUGAUGUGCCAUGUCCUUGUGUGGAUGAAGGACCUACAUCUCAGGGGUGACCAGCAGCAGAUGUAACACC